rnacentral:rRNA from 1 species
UACGUAGGGACCAAGCGUUGUUCGGAUUUACUGGGCGUAAAGGGCGCGUAGGCGGCGUGUUAAGUCAGCUGUGAAAUCUCCGAGCUUAACUCGGAACGGUCAGCUGAUACUGAUGUGCUAGAGUGCAGAAGGGGCAAUCGGAAUUCUUGGUGUAGCGGUGAAAUGCGUAGAUAUCAAGAGGAACACCUGAGGUGAAGACGGGUUGCUGGGCUGACACUGACGCUGAGGCGCGAAAGCGUGGGGAGCGAACAGG